rnacentral:rRNA from 1 species
UUUUACCCGCUGGACUUAAGCAUAUCAAUAAGCGGAGGAAAAGAAACCAACAGGGAUUGCCCUAGUAACGGCGAGUGAAGCGGCAACAGCUCAAAUUUGAAAUCUGGCCUUUCAGGUCCGAGUUGUAAUUUGUAGAGGAUGCUUCGGCGUUGGACCCGACCUAAGUUCCUUGGAACAGGACGUCACAGAGGGUGAGAAUCCCGUACGUGGCCGGUGUCCCUCGCCAUGUGAAGCUCCUUCGACGAGUCGAGUUGUUUGGGAAUGCAGCUCUAAAUGGGAGGUAAAUUUCUUCUAAAGCUAAAUACUGGCCAGAGACCGAUAGCGCACAAGUAGAGUGAUCGAAAGAUGAAAAGCACUUUGGAAAGAGAGUUAAAAAGUACGUGAAAUUGUUGAAAGGGAAGCGCUUGCAACCAGACCUGCCCGCGGUCGCUCAUCCAGGCUUCUGCCUGGUGCACUCUUCCGCGGUCAGGCCAGCAUCGGUUUGGGCGGUCGGACAAAGGCGGCGGGAAUGUGGCUCCCCUCGGGGAGUGUUAUAGCCCGUCGUGCAAUGCGGCCAGUCCGGACCGAGGUCCGCGCUUCGGCUAGGAUGCUGGCGUAAUGGUUGUAAGCGGCCCGUCUUGAAACACGGACCAAGGAGUCUAACAUCUGUGCGAGUGUUUGGGUGUCAAGCCCGGACGCGUAAUGAAAGUGAACGGAGGCGGGAACCUUCGGGUGCACCGUCGACCGAUCCUGAUGUCUUCGGAUGGAUUUGAGUAAGAGCAUAGCUGUUGGGACCCGAAAGAUGGUGAACUAUGCCUGAAUAGGGUGAAGCCAGAGGAAACUCUGGUGGAGGCUCGCAGCGGUUCUGACGUGCAAAUCGAUCGUCAAAUUUGGGCAUAGGGGCGAAAGACUAAUCGAACUAUCUAGUAGCUGGUUCCUGCCGAAGUUUCCCUCAGGAUAGCAGUAACGUUUUCAGUUUUAUGAGGUAAAGCGAAUGAUUAGAGGCCUGGGGGUUGAAACAACCUUCACCUAUUCUCAAACUUUAAAUAUGUAAGAAGUCCUUGUUACUUAGUUGAACGUGGACAUUUGAAUGCACCGUUACUAGUGGGCCAUUUUUGGUAAGCAGAACUGGCGAUGCGGGAUGAACCGAACGCGGGGUUAAGGUGCCGGAAUGCACGCUCAUCAGACACCACAAAAGGUGUUAGUUCAUCUAGACAGCAGGACGGUGGCCAUGGAAGUCGGAAUCCGCUAAGGAGUGUGUAACAACUCACCUGCCGAAUGAACUAGCCCUGAAAAUGGAUGGCGCUCAAGCGUGCUACCCAUACCCCGCCGCCGGGGCAAAAGUUACGCCCCGGCGAGUAGGCAGGCGUGGAGGCCCGUGACGAAGCCUUGGGGGUGACCCCGGGUAGAACGGCCUCU